CACGUAGGGCGCAAGCGUUGUCCGGAAUUAUUGGGCGUAAAGAGCUCGUAGGCGGUCUGUUGCGUCCGCUGUGAAAACUCGGGCUUAACCCCGAGCCUGCAGUGGAUACGGGCAGACUAGAGGUAGGUAGGGGAGAAUGGAAUUCCCGGUGUAGCGGUGAAAUGCGCAGAUAUCAGGAGGAACACCGGUGGCGAAGGCGGGUCUCUGGCAGUAACUGACGCUGAGGAGCGAAAGCGUGGGUAGCAAACAGG
rnacentral:rRNA from 1 species